rnacentral:rRNA from 1 species
CCUACGGGGGGCUGCAGUGAGGAAUAUUGGUCAAUGGACGAGAGUUUGAACCAGCCAAGUAGCGUGAAGGAUGACUGCCCUAUGGGUUGUAAACUUCUUUUAUAAAGGAAUAAAACGAGGCACGUGUGCCUUUUUGCAUGUACUUUAUGAAUAAGGAUCGGCUAACUCCGUGCCAGCAGCCGCGGUAAUACGGAGGAUCCGAGCGUUAUCCGGAUUUAUUGGGUUUAAAGGGAGCGUAGAUGGGUUGUUAAGUCAGUUGUGAAAGUUUGCGGCUCAACCGUAAAAUUGCAAGUGAUACUGGCAGUCUAGAGUACAGUUGAGGUAGGCGGAAUUCGUGGUGUAGCGGUGAAAUGCUUAGAUAUCACGAAGAACCCCGAGUGCGAAGGCAGCUUACUAAACUGUGACUGACAUUGAUGCUCGAAAGUGUGGGUAUCAAACAGGAUUAGAUACCCGAGUAGUC